rnacentral:lncRNA from 1 species
AUGGCUCAGCUGCAAACAAGCUUCUACACUGAUCACAAGAAAUAGGCCAUCAAUGAUGUUGCCUUCUCAAUCCCUGCUGUCUCUUAAAGUGUUGACCUUAGUAACAUCAUCAAUUAAUUACUAAAGGGCAGAAAUGAGUUCCACAAAUAUGUGGAGUUUGAUUUCCUUAUUAAGGGUCAGUUUCUGUGAAUGCCCUUGGUCAAACACAUGGAACGGGAGAACACCUCCUUAAAAGAAGUUGUGGAAAGAGAAUACGCGGAGAAGUACACCGCACCCCAACCAGAAUGAAGUGUCCUUGAUGAGUGGACCAGUUCAAUUCAAGGGACAGAGGUAUGGAUCUUGACUGGUUCUUAUGAUGAGACUUCUCGAAUCUGGUCCUUGGAAGGAAAGUCAACAUUGACAAUUGUGGGACACAUGGAUAUUGUUAACAGAUGUGGCCUGGGUGACAAAAGACAGUUUGUGUUACUAUUGAGUGGCUCUAUGGAUCAGACUAUUCUCUUAUGGGAGUGGAAUGUCCAGAGAAACAAAGUGAAAACCCUAUGCUGCUGCCCAAGUGUAGAUUCCACAGCUAUUGAUAGCUCAGGAACUAAAUUUUGCAGUGGCUCCUGAGAUAAGAUGCUAAGGAUCUGGUCUACUGUCCCUACAGAAGAAGAUGAAAUGGAGGAAUCCACAAACUGACCAAGAAAGAAACAGAAAACAGAGCAGUUGGGACUAACAAGGACUCCCAUAGUGACCUUCUCUGGCCACAAGGAAGCAAUCUCCUCAGUGCUGUGGUCAGAUGCUGAAGAAAUCUGCAGCGUAUCUUGGGACCAUGAAAUUAGCGUGUGGGAUGUCGCGUUUGGCAAUCUUAAGUCAACUUUACAGGAAAUAAAGUGUUUAAUUGUAUUUCCUAUUCUCCACUUUGUAAAUGUUUAGCAUCUGGAAGCACAGAUAGGCAUAUCAGACUGUGGGAUCCCCAAACUAAAGAUGGUUCUUUCGUGUUGCCGUCCCUAACCUCACAUACAGGUUGGGAGACAUCAGUAAAACGGUCUCCUACCCAUGAACCACAGCAGAUUUCAGGAUCCUUAUAUAACACCGUCAAGCUGUGGGAUUCAAGAAGUUGUAAGGCUCCUCUCUAUGAUGUGGCUGCUCAUGAAGAGAAAGUUCUGAGAGCAGACUAGACAGACACAGGGCUCCUUCCGAGUGGAGGAGCAGAUAAUAAACUGUAUUCCUACAGAUAUUC